rfam:Astyanax mexicanus chromosome 20, whole genome shotgun sequence.
GACCUUAUUAUUUGUAAGUUGCUUUGGAUAAAAGCAUCUGCUAAAUGCAGUGUA